UCAAACUUGGUCAUUUAGAGGAAGUAAAAGUCGUAACAAGGUUUCCGUAGGUGAACCUGCGGAAGGAUCAUUAAAAAAUUUUUGAUUUUUAUGGAUCAAAAAAUCCAUAAAUUCACCUUUUGUGCAAAAAUUGAAAAAAUUUGUUACCUUUGGGAGACUGGUUUUUUUAAAAUCAUCUCCCGAAGGGUUAAAUUGAUUUACAUAUUUUUUGUAUAUCUGACUUGAAUAAUAAUAUAAAAACAACUUUCAACAACGGAUCUCUUGGCUCUCGCAUCGAUGAAGAACGCAGC
rnacentral:misc_RNA from 1 species